GCCGUUAAUUCAUAGCGUUACCAAGUAAUUAAAAUAUUAAACUGUACAACUGUGAGCAACUUCAACUUUUCCAAGUAGGUUCAAAUAUAUCCCGCCGUGCAUGAAAAGCUAAGAAAAAGGUGGGACCGUUUUUAAGCCAGCUUUUAACCCCAAAGAGUUAAGCGAUGCACGCGCAUUCGACAGCGCAUUCGAAGUUGCAGCGUCGAUGCAUUUAUUCGAGGUCACCGGUACUACAAAUUCGACUCGGAUCGGCCUGUGGGGCAGCGUUGAAAUAGAGAGCAGAAUGAGUAACAGGCUCAGACUGACAAUCUGUUUCUUUCAAUAUACGUCGACGAAGCCGCAUUUUUUCGUCGUCGUUCUCGAAGGCCGCGGGUCAAGGGUCGUUCUCCAAGUAGAAUCGUCUGCGUUCGAAUACGAAUUCGACAGACUCCGGAACGUACGCUUGCGAACUGUUCUCGUGACAGCACUUUGGGGACAGCGCAUUGUGCAAGAUAAAUGUACCUAAUUUUGGAACAUCCUUCAGGGAGUAUAAAAUUUUCAUCGAUUUGAUUAUGAACUGGAAAUUGUUAUUGUUGUAUGUUUAUACCACUGUUCGAUAGAUAAACGUUUCUGGAAAACGUAACGAACUUUGAAAUAUUUAUUUAAAAUGCGUAGAAAAUGAAAAUUAAUAAAGUAGUUAAGUAUGA